rnacentral:rRNA from 1 species
CGUUCCCGGACCUUGUACACACCGCCCGUCAAGCCAUGGAAGCUGGGAGGACCUGAAGGCAGUUGCUGCAAGGCGCUGUUUAAGGGUAAAACCGGUGACGUGGGCUAAGUCGUAACAACGGUACC